rnacentral:rRNA from 1 species
UUUGAGAGGAGCUGUCCUUAGUACGAGAGGACCGGGAUGGACAUACCUCUGGUGUACCAGUUGUCGUGCCAACGGCAUAGCUGGGUAGCUAUGUGUGGACGGGAUAAGUGCUGAAAGCAUCUAAGCAUGAAGCCCCCCUCAAGAUGAGAUUUCCCAACUUCGGUUAUAAGAUCCCUCAAAGAUGAUGAGGUUAAUAGGUUCGAGGUGGAAGCAUGGUGACAUGUGGAGCUGACGAAUACUAAUCGAUCGAAGACUUAAUCAA